CAAUAAAUGAUUAAAAAUAACAACAGAAAACAAGUUGAAACGAAUGGAACAAUGAGAGGACACUAAACUGAUAUGCUUGAUGCUAAACAAUAAGAAAUGGAUAUGGAGGAUGGAAAUUGAAACAAAGACUUGAAACAAUGAAACAAAAGUAAAGAGAUGAAUCACAAAGGAUAUAACCUGAUUUAGAGCCUAAGCUUACUCUGAUACCAAACUGAUACGAACCCGGGUAUAUUAACCGAGACCCAAUAUCUUUACACUUGGAAGCAACCCCUUAGAAAGCUAAAUCAGAUUUAUCAAGUCCUUGAUCCAAUUCGAUUCAUGAAAGGGAACUUUGGAAUAAGUCUGCAACCCAAAGUUAACCCUUGAAGAACCUUUGAAUAAACUACUCACAAAGUAAU
rnacentral:lncRNA from 1 species